rnacentral:rRNA from 1 species
UGGUGGAGUGGUCUGUCAGGUUUAUUCCGGUAACGAGCGAGGCCGCAGCAAAUGGACGCCCUGUUUUAAAUGGGGGGAAGAAGCGGCGAUAACA